UGUUGCCAAUGUGAAGGCAUUAAGAAGUGGAGCCUUUAAGAGGAAACGGGAGCAGCCUCCACUGCUUACCUGUUCAAACCACCUUAAUUUGUGGCCUCUGGGGUGGAAGAUGCUUGGAAGCAGUGUGUUCUACAGUGAAGAUCCUGUGUGAAACCGGUCAAUGGAACUGAAGGGAGACAUACUCUUUAAAAAAAGAUAAAGAAGAAACCAUUUAUAAGGAAAGAAACAUUGAAGGGCAGAAAGUAAUGAGUCACCAUUGCAAGUUGGCACAAAAAGAAAAAUUAGUUCAUAAAAAUGCAGUUGGAUAAAUAAUAGGUUAUUUCAUCAUGUAAAUAUAUCCCAAAAUAACUUUAUUGAAAUGAAAAUAUCUAUCGCAGCCUAAACUAUUCAUCACACUAACGUAUAUCUAGAAUCCUAACAAAUUUAUGAAAAUGUUAUAUUCCAUAAUCUUCCUGAUCCAAUGCAAAUAAAUAGAUGUGCUUCAACUGUCUUGUUAUGAAAUGAUUAAUCACUGCUGCCAAAAGCAGCCAAGAAGCUAAUUUUGAUUUCUCACGUUGUGGGUGGCAU
rnacentral:lncRNA from 1 species